rnacentral:rRNA from 1 species
CAGUCGCCGCGGUAAAACGUAGGGCGCAAGCGUUAUCCGGAAUUAUUGGGCGUAAAGAGCUCGUAGGCGGUUUGUCGCGUCCGCCGUGAAAGUCCGGGGCUCAACCCCGGAUCUGCGGUGGGUACGGGCAGACUAGAGUGAUGUAGGGGAGACUGGAAUUCCUGGUGUAGCGGUGAAAUGCGCAGAUAUCAGGAGGAACACCGAUGGCGAAGGCAGGUCUCUGGGCAUUAACUGACGCUGAGGAGCGAAAGCAUGGGGAGCGAACAGGAUUAGAUACCCCCGUAGUCCCUGUCUCUUAUAA